ensembl:lncRNA
UUCAGAAGACACACAGCCUGACAUGCAGCUCAGUUCACACAGAAAGGCACAGCCCACGACCCGAAUCCACCUCCACAAGGCUGCUGACUGUUCACAACACUGCUCCUGCCCCAAAGGUGGUAACACAAACCUCCCAGCCCGGAGCACAGGCAGAACGUGCAGACGCAUCUUUUACUUCCGAACUCGACUACUUUUGUAAAGCUCCCAAAAAAACCCAUAACCCACAUUUCCACUCCGUCACGGAGAGAACAAAUCUCCCCACCGGGAACGGAGAACCGCUCGCUGGAAAUACGACANNNNNNNNNNNNNCCGGCACUCAGACCGCGGGGCAAACACCCUUCUUCACUUUUAAAUGAAGGUUUGGGAACCUCUGCCAAGCCCCUCAUCAAGCAAAAGAUAUUUCCAGCUGCACUAACGGUCAGUCUGAAACAGAAAAAAAGGCACAGAACUCAACUUCCUUCGCUCAGGCUUCUGACCAUGCACCGAGUCAAGAAUGACUGCCUUGAAUCUGUAAACGUGAGAAGAUGUAUAUUGACCAUGUACAACGUCCAGCCAAUGAACUGCUCCUGAGCCAAGCGAGGGCGCAAACAGGACCAAGGAGGAUGCCCUCAUGACGUCAACAAUACAGGGGCGUCGAGGAGACCUCGUGGCUAAGUGUCACCAGCUACUUCAGGGACCUUCAAAGUCCCCCCAGGGUCUUUAACAUCCACCGCUACCAAACUCGAACAGCCACUGCUCCCACCAGGUAUCAAAAUCUGCUGCAACCGUGUCCCAAACACUUGAAUCCCUCUUAUAUCCCAAAACACUUGAACCUUUGCAACUCCAAAGGUUUGAAGAGUUUCAAAUUCAAAGUGCAGGCGUAUGAUAAAAAAAAAAAAAGUUGUAAUUUGAAGGGUAAUAUAUCCUUGGAACGCCCACGUGUCCUUACCCAUUGGGGAAAGAAAAUGGAAUUCUCCUUCUCGCCUGGAAGAGCUUGGCCCCGAGAUGCAAAGGGUGACCCCAGCCAGGAGGUGGAAAGAGACCUACGUUUAGAGAGACCAGCCCCCAGCUGAAACACAGACCUGCCUCUCAGCACCACAAGGCCAGGACUCUGCUCAUAAUGACUUCCUUCUAAUCUGAGUUACAGGGAUCACAUCUNNNNNNNNNNNNNNNNNNNNNNNNNNNNNNNNGGGGGGGGGUGUCUCUCUGUCGACAGCUCCUGAACUGAGCUCUAUGAAAGAGCAGGCGGCACCAACAUUUAUUCAACAUGACACUGUCUCCCCACCCUCCUUAUCAUAUGAUUGACACUGACCUGCUCCAGUUUUUCACUGAGGAAUAGGAAAAGAUCUUUGGAACAUUAGUUCCUCUGUCUUGUGAAAAAACAAAUUCUCCUUUUAUUUUUGUUGUUGUUUAAAGAUAGGUAACAAGGAAAAACUAGACCUGAUAUUAAUGUUAGAAAAAAAGUUGAAAGUCUCCUAUUACCUACUUAUAAAAUGAUAUAUUCCAUAUAUGCACAAUGCAUAAAAUUGUAGAAUAGUGUGUAAGUUCAAAAUCAAGGUUGACAUCUUUCAAACAGGCUUUACUUCUUAUUUACAUAUCUACCACCCCACUGGGGUCUCAGCCUCUACCACAAAUAAAAGAGCUGAUCUUAUGAGAUUAGAAACGCAAUAAGAUUUUUAAUACCAAAACAAAACCUAAGAAGCGGCCGGGGGCACAGCUUAUAAAGACGUGUACACGCAGCCCCAUUACAUAAUCAAAUAGCAACCAAGAGUUUUCAAAAAUUUACCUAAAGAAGGCACUUCAGACUAAAUAACCAAGAACUCAUCAUGAGAGAAUAGAUACAUGGAAAACAACGUAUCACAAUACUACCCCACAUUUUUAACAGGAAAAGAAAGCAACUAUACAGUGAUAGAAGAGAAACCAAAACUUUAAGUGUAGCUGGAACUAUACAUCCUUAAACAAAUAAUUCAAAGAGACAUAAUACCCGUUUGCUAGUUUAGUGUACUAUCCAAGUUAUUGAUUCAAAUGGAAGCUUGGGUUACUAGACCAGGAGAGGAUCUGGGAUGUGUCUAGCACUCACAAAGCCUUUCUUCAGAAUUAGAAGACUUUGCAGUAGUAGCCACAGGCUUGCACAGCUCAUCCUGUUUCCCCUAGAAUUACCAUUUCAAUGGCAUGGUUAGCUCACUCAUAAUUUGACACACGAUGAAUUAAUUCAUCUGGAUAGGGUUUUCAUGUAACUUCUAUUGCCCACUCUUCCCCCUGAGAGAGCCAGUGCGAGGUGCCACCAGCACAGCAAGGGUUAACCCCAGGACUGUGACAGUCCUCCCUGUGAUAAGGUGAGGGGUAGCUGAGGCCGGUCAAGGGCUCUAAGCUAUUUGCAGAGAACUGAAAAUGCUGGGAAAAAAUAAAUAAAUAACCUCUACGGCCCGUGUAUGUCACUAGGGCAAGACUAAAAUUGUUUCUUAAGUCACACUGAAAGUUUUCUGACCUACAGAAGCUCCAGAAACACGCAUGGUGGGAAAGCUGUGGCACUUAGGAAUCCGUUUCUUUGGAAGGAUAACGAAACUAUCAUCGUCCUAACGAAGAAUUGCAUUACGUUCACACCUGCAUUAAAACUGUUUAUCCAUUUUAUGAGGCAGUGUAGUCCGCUGUUAACAACAGCAUCUAAAUCCUUUAAACCGUUACAAAUAAUUCUAGGUGGUACCUUUUGUAAAAUAUCUAGACAAUAUGUAGCUGUGAUACAAGGACGUCGUAUUUCAGACAGAAACCAACAAGGCUUGCUGAGAGAUACACGUAUAAUUUUUAAACAUGCCAAGUGUCUCCAGUAAGCGGUAAACGGGAAGCACAUAAACGUGCAGGCCGAGGUGUCAGAAGGGGAAAAGACGGAGAUGCAGAGAAAAGAGAGGAAGCCGAGGUCCGGGAGAGCGCGGCGAGGGCGCCGUCGGAGGGCGAUUCCACCCACGGAAGGACUGAGCGGGCAGCGACAGCCAAGCCCACACCUGGUCUCGACUCUCAGCCGAGCGUGGGCUUUCAUUCAAGCCUUAUUUCCACUCCAGACAACAACAAAUCAU